rnacentral:rRNA from 1 species
AUAUUAAAGUAGUAUUAGUUAUAUUCUUGAAACUUAAAGAAUUUGGCGGUAUUUUAAUCUAUUUAGAGGAACCUGUCCUGUAAUCGAUAAUCCUCGUUAAAUUUUACUGAAUUAUUUGUAUAUCGUUGUCGAAAAAAUAAAUUUUUAAGUAUUAUUAAUAUAAUAGAUGUCAAAUCAAGGUGCAGUUUAUAAUUUAGAAGAGAUGGGUUACAAUAAAGUUAUUUAGGAAUUUAAUGAAGAUGGAUUUAAAUGUAAAUUAUUUUUAAAAUAAAUAGUUGAUUAAAGUUCUAAAAUAUGU